CACCAACUCUGAAGUGAACUCUGUCAAGAGGAAAAGGCUGAACCAGGUGCUUGAAGUGAGGUGAGCAUCCUGAUAAGCAGGUUGGUAUUGUUCCUGAAUUUGAAGAAUUUUGAUAUGACAAGAACGAGGCAAAAGCAUCAACAUCUACAAAGAGGGUACUGACAUCAUCAACGUUAGGUCCCUAGUAAUCUUAAAUUUGAAAAACUACAGCAGUGGAAGGCAUCCAUGGGGUGAUCUUAAACCAGAUUAUCUUGAAAAGCAGGUCUCUGGAAAAGGAGCUGCUGGUGGAAGACAAAGGAGCUGCGUUUGAGUCUUAUAUUAUUUAGAGUUCAUUGACGGUUAUUGUUGAAUUUGCAGACUAUGUAACUUGUAUUGAUGAUUAUGCGAAAAUGCAAUUGGUUGUUUGAGUACAUUUUGGGAUAUAGUACUAAGCUCUAUUUGUUUAUUCAACCAUAUUUGAAAAGGGUGUAUAAUUGAA